AGGUCGAAAGGGAAUCUGGUUAAUAUUCCAGAACCUGGCCACGGAGACGACCCUUGAAAAUCCGACGGAGACGGUGUUAUUUUCGUGCCAGGCCGUACCCAUAUCCGCAUCAGGUCUCCAAGGUUCACAGCCUCUAGCCAAUAGAACAAUGUAGGUAAGGGAAGUCGGCAAAUUCGAUCCGUAACUUCGGGAUAAGGAUUGGCUCUGAGGGCCGAGUCAUUCGGGCUUAGGCGGGAAGCGGGCGUGGAAAAGGUGCGGGCUGGGCGAAGCCUUUCGGGGCGGAGCCCGGACCGCUGCCUCGACCGCCUCGUGGACCAAUUUAGCUUGCGGGUUAUCCUUCGGGGUUCCCGCAUCGUCUGGCAAUUAACGGCCGCCUCAGAACUGGCACGGACCAGGGGAAUCCGACUGUCUAAUUAAAACAAAGCAUUGCGAUGGCCGCCACCUGGUGCUGACGCAAUGUGAUUUCUGUCC
rnacentral:rRNA from 1 species